AUGGAAUAUAAAAUUCCCAGGAACAAUGUAUUUUACAUGAAAGUGCAUUCCAUUUCAAUGUGCUAUCUGCUCAAGGUUUUGAUCAAGCAUUUUAUUGGAUUUAUGUACCAAAAGUGUAUCUGGCAAGAGACUGACCACGAGGGGGAGUAUUAUAGCUGCUCUGUGAGACUGCCUGAAGUACAACAUACUUUGAGGGAUAAUUAGCACAUUUCCAGCUCUCUGUUAACCACUCAGGACACCAGAACCAAACCUCUAUGGAAUUAUGGAAUUUUUGGACACUAGAACCUAUCAUACUGUAUUCAUAGUUCUGUCCUUCAUUUUAUGUAUUAAAAAGUGAGUGGAUCAAGUGCUUUAUCUGGAAUCAUCAAGACCUGAAUUCAAAUCCAGCUUUAGACACUGUAUGAUCUUGAGCAAGUUACUUAAACUGUUUACCUCAAUUUUUUCAUCUGUUAAAUGGAGUAUUAAUAGCACCAAUCUACCAGGAUGUUGUGAAUCUAAAAUGAAUUAAUAUUUGUAAAGUAUUUUUCAGAUUUUUAUAAAGCACUAUACAAAAACUAGUUAUUAUUUUACCACUAGAAUGGAAGCUUCUUUGAGGGCAAGGAUUGUACUUAUCUGUGUAUCUCUAAUGCUUAUCAGAGCGUCUGGGACCUAGGAAGCACCAAAUCAGUACUCUUUCCAUUCAGUCAUUUAUCCUUCUAUUUAUACAUCUCUUUAUC
rnacentral:lncRNA from 1 species